GACGAACCAUGAUGUCAUUUAUUUGGUGUUGUGGGGAAUCAGGACUGUUACUUUGAAAAAAUUAGAGCGUUUAAAGCAAGCUCACGCUUGAAUACAUUAGCAUGGAAUAAUGAAAUAGGACGUUUGAUUCUAUUUUGUUGGUUUCUAGGAUCGACGUAAUGAUUAAUAGGGAUAGUUGGGGGCAUUAGUAUUCAAUUGUCAGAGGUGAAAUUCUUGGAUUUAUUGAAGACUAACUACUGCGAAAGCAUUUGCCAAGGAUGUUUUCAUUAAUCAAGAACGAAAGUUAGGGGAUCGAAGACGAUCAGAUACCGUCGUAGUCUUAACCACAAACUAUGCCGACUAGGGAUCGGAUGAUGUUAAUUUUUUAAUGACUCAUUCGGCGCCUUACG
rnacentral:rRNA from 1 species